UUGACAGUGGUGGAGACUGAAGUUCUCUAUUCACAGAACAGGUAUAACAUUGGCAGUGACCCCAUGCUGUUGCUUGACAUUUUUGCCCCAGCCAGAACUUGGAGGGAUCAUCUAUUGGUAUGAUUUGAGAGCAGAAUUGUUUCAAUUGCUCAUUUAGUCUCUGUCCUUU
rnacentral:sRNA from 1 species